UUUUUGUGAAAUUAGUUAAUACUGAGCUUGGUGCCAAAUUAUUAACUUUAAGGUCAAUGCAAAGGACAAGGGACACUCUUUGCGUGUCUGGAGGAAAAAGGAGGUUUAACCAUUGCAUAUGGAAAGGAUUCCUCACAGUUAGAGCUGUUAAAAUGUGGA